rnacentral:rRNA from 1 species
CCUACGGGGCGCAGCAGUGGGGGAUAUUGCACAAUGGGGGAAACCCUGAUGCAGCGAUGCCGCGUGAAUGAAGACGGCCUUCGGGUUGUAAAGUUCUGUCGCAGGGGACGAAAAUGACGGUACCCUGCAAGAAAGCUCCGGCUAACUACGUGCCAGCAGCCGCGGUAAUACGUAGGGAGCAAGCGUUGUCCGGAUUUACUGGGUGUAAAGGGAGCGUAGACGGCAAUGCAAGCCAGAUGUGAAAGCCAGGGGCUCAACCCCGGGACUGCAUUUGGAACUGUGUAGCUGGAGUGUCGGAGAGGCAG